UACGGGAGGCAGCAGUGGGGAAUAUUGCACAAUGGGCGCAAGCCUGAUGCAGCCAUGCCGCGUGUAUGAAAAAGGCCUUCGGGUUGUAAAGUACUUUCAGUCGUGAGGAAGGUGUUAAGGUUAAUAACCUUAGCAAUUGACGUUAGCGACAGAAGAAGCACCGGCUAACUCCGUGCCAGCAGCCGCGGUAAUACGGAGGGUGCGAGCGUUAAUCGGAAUUACUGGGCGUAAAGGGCACGCAGGCGGUUAAUUAAGUUGGAUGUGAAAUCCCCGGGCUUAACCUGGGAAUGGCAUUUCAAGACUGGUUAGCUAGAGUCUUGUAGAGGGGGUAGAAUUCCAUGUGUAGCGGUGAAAUGCGUAGAGAUGUGGAGGAAUACCGGUGGCGAAGGCGGCCCCUGGACAAAGACUGACGCUCAUGUGCGAAAGCGUGGGGAGCAAACAGGGAUUAGAUACC
rnacentral:rRNA from 1 species